rnacentral:piRNA from 1 species
UGCUCUAACCUGCCUUAUAUUGUGUGA